GGGCGUAUAACUCAGCGGUAGAGUGUAAGAUUGCAGUUUACUAGUAAUUACUAUCUUAGCGUCCUCGGUUCGAUCCCGAGUACGCCCU